UACAGAGGGUGCAAGCGUUAAUCGGAAUUACUGGGCGUAAAGGGCGCGUAGGCGGAAUAUUAAGUUGGAUGUGAAAUCCCUGGGCUUAACCUAGGAACUGCAACCAAUACUGGUAAUCUAGAGUGCGGUAGAGGGUAGUGGAAUUUCCGGUGUAGCGGUGAAAUGCGUAGAUAUCGGAAGGAACACCAGUGGCGAAGGCGGCUACCUGGACUGACACUGACGCUGAGGCGCGAAAGCGUGGGGAGCAAACAGG
rnacentral:rRNA from 1 species